UAGAGCGCACGCCUGAUAAGCGUGAGGUCGGUGGUUCGAGUCCACUUAGACCCAUCGUUACUGGUAAGUGACAAUCGAAUAUUUUGGGGAAUUAGCUCAGCUGGGAGAGCACCUGCUUUGCAAGCAGGAGGUCAACGGUUCGAUCCCGUUAUUCUCCAUUGACACGUCAGUGUCAACUUUGUUCUUUGAAAACUAGAUAAUAUUAUUUUCUGUAUUAAUUAUAUUUUAAUUAUAAUUUUAACCGAGAAAUAACCACUACGUUAUUUGAGUUUUUUAAAAUAGUUUAAAUCGCAAAUACUCAAUAACUUACAUCACGAAGUGAUGCAGGUUAAGUUAUUAAGGGCGCAUGGUGAAUGCCUUGGUACUAGGAGCCGAUGAAGGACGGAACUAACACCGAUAUGCUUCGGGGAGCUGUACGUAAGCUUUGAUCCGGAGAUUUCCGAAUGGGGAAACCCAAUCAUCUUAGUCGAUGAUUGCUCGACAGUGAAUUCAUAGCUGUCGUGCGGUAAACGCGGGGAACUGAAACAUCUAAGUACCCGCAGGAGUAGAAAAAAAUUUCGAUUCCCUAAGUAGCGGCGAGCGAACGGGGAACAGCCCAAACCGACCAGUUUACUGGUCGGGGUUGUAGGACUGAACAUUUGAGUUACAAAAGAAUCUGAUAGUCGAAUCAGUUGGGAAGCUGAGCCAUAGAUGGUGAUAGCCCAGUAGACGAAAUCAGAUUCCCUCAGUUCAGGAUCCUGAGUACGGCGACACACGUGAAAUGUCGUCGGAAGCCGGGAGGACCAUCUCCCAAGGCUAAAUACUACCUAGUGACCGAUAGUGAACCAG
rnacentral:sRNA from 2 species